UAAUACGUAGGUGGCGAGCGUUGUCCGGAAUUACUGGGUGUAAAGGGCGCGUAGGCGGGGAUGUAAGUCAGAUGUGAAAUACCAUGGCUCAACCGUGGGGCUGCAUCUGAAACUAUGUUUCUUGAGUGCUGGAGAGGAAAGCGGAAUUCCUAGUGUAGCGGUGAAAUGCGUAGAUAUUAGGAGGAACACCAGUGGCGAAGGCGGCUUUCUGGACAGUAACUGACGCUGAGGCGCGAAAGCGUGGGGAGCGAACAGGAUUAGAUACCCUGGUAGUCCACGCCGUAAACGAUGGAUACUAGGUGUAGGAGGUAUCGACCCCUUCUGUGCCGGAGUAAACACAAUAAGUAUCCCACCUGGGGAGUACGGCCGCAAGGUUGAAACUCAAAGGAAUUGACGGGGGCCCGCACAAGCAGUGGAGUAUGUGGUUUAAUUCGAAGCAACGCGAAGAACCUUACCAGGGCUUGACAUACAGAGGGAUAUGUCAGAGAUGGCAUAGCUCUUCGGAGCCUCUGUACAGGUGGUGCAUGGUUGUCGUCAGCUCGUGUCGUGAGAUGUUGGGUUAAGUCCCGCAACGAGCGCAACCCUUGUUGUUAGUUGGUAACACGUAAAGGUGACCACUCUAACGAGACUGCCGGUGACAAAUCGGAGGAAGGUGGGGACGACGUCAAAUCAUCAUGCCCCUUAUGUCCUGGGCUACACACGUACUACAAUGGCUACAACAAAGGGAAGCGAAGCCGUAAGGCGGAGCAAAUCCCCAAAAGUAGUCCCAGUUCGGAUUGUGGGCUGCAACCCGCCCACAUGAAGUCGGAAUUGCUAGUAAUGGCAGGUCAGCAUACUGCCGUGAAUACGUUCCCGGGCCUUGUACACACCGCCCGUCACACCAUGAGAGUCAGCAACACCCGAAGUCAGUAGCUUAACCGCAAGGAGGGCGCUGCCGAAGGUGGGGCCGAUGAUUGGGGUG
rnacentral:rRNA from 1 species